CCUUGACAUACUAAGAACUUUCCAGAGAUGGAUUGGUGCCUUCGGGAACUUAGAUACAGGUGCUGCAUGGCUGUCGUCAGCUCGUGUCGUGAGAUGUUGGUUAAGUCCGCAACGAGCGCAACCCUUUUCCUUAUUUGCCAGCGGGUAAUGCCGGGAACUUUAAGGAUACUGCCAGUGACAAACUGGAGGAAGGCGGGGACGACGUCAAGUCAUCAUGGCCCUUACGGCCAGGGCUACACACGUGCUACAAUGGUCGGUACAAAGGGUUGCUACCUCGCGAGAGGAUGCUAAUCUCAAAAAGCCGAUCGUAGUCCGGAUCGCAGUCUGCAACUCGACUGCGUGAAGUCGGAAUCGCUAGUAAUCGCGGAUCAGAAUGCCGCGGUGAAUACGUUCCCGGGCCUUGUACACACCGCCCGUCACACCAUGGGAGUUUGUUGCACCAGAAGUAGGUAGUCUAACCGCAAGGAGGACGCUUACCACGGUGUGGCCGAUGACUGGGGUGAAGUCGUAACAAGGUAAGCGUAGAUGA
rnacentral:rRNA from 1 species